GGUAGCCGGCCUGAGAGGGUGACCGGCCACACUGGGACUGAGACACGGCCCAGACUCCUACGGGAGGCAGCAGUGGGGAAUAUUGCACAAUGGGCGCAAGCCUGAUGCAGCAACGCCGCGUGAGGGACGACGGCCUUCGGGUUGUAAACCUCUUUUAGCAGGGAAGAAGCGAAAGUGACGGUACCUGCAGAAAAAGCGCCGGCUAACUACGUGCCAGCAGCCGCGGUAAUACGUAGGGCGCAAGCGUUAUCCGGAAUUAUUGGGCGUAAAGAGCUCGUAGGCGGUUUGUCGCGUCUGCUGUGAAAUCCGGAGGCUCAACCUCCGGCCUGCAGUGGGUACGGGCAGACUAGAGUGCGGUAGGGGA
rnacentral:rRNA from 1 species